rnacentral:lncRNA from 1 species
UUUUUUUUUUUUUGCUUUUUAGGGUCACACCUGCAGCAUAUGGAGCCUUAAAAUAAAUAAACAAAUAAAUAAAUAAAUAAAUAAAACAGGAGUCAUCUAACUUCCUCGGUAAAGGGCUCCACAGUAAAUGUUUUAGGCUUCACAGGCCACCUAUCUCUGACACAACUGCUCCACUCUGCUAACGUAGCAUGAAAGUGGCCAAGACAACGUGUAAAGGAAUGCAGAUGGCCAGAUUCCAAUAAAACCUCAUUCAUGGACGUUGAGUUUUGAAUUUUAUAUAUUUUAUUCUUUUGAUAUUCUCCCAUCUCUUAAAAAAUGUAAAAACCAUUCUUAGACCAUGCCCCGCCCCCCAAAAAAUGGUGAACUUCUUUGACCUCCAAACCAUCAUUUGCCAACACCUGUGUUUAUAACCAAAAAAGGUGGUAGAACUGAACACAAAUUCCUUGGCGGCUGAGGGAAAACUGGUAACAAACUAGAAAGAGAAGAAAGCUGCCAUAACUUGAGAAAGUUUAUCUACCAGAAAACGACAGCAAAUAUCACUUAAUGAAUGAAACAUAACAAACAUUUCUCACUAAUGUCAGAAAGAAAACAUGAAUGCCUGUCACUAUUUCUAUUCAACAAUAUAUUGACAAUAUAUAUAUCAGAAAGGAGCAGAAGUCACUGUUCUGGUUAUUUGAUCAUUUUCUUAAAAAAAAAAAAAAAAAAGAAGAAAGAAAAGAAAAAGAAAAAAAACUAAGAGGUGGCCCAACUGGUUAAAGAUCCAGCUUUAUCACUGCUGUGCUGUGGGUUCAAUCCCUGGCCCCAGAACUUCCACAUGCUGUGGGCAUGGCCAAAAAAAAAAAAAAAAAUAAGAGGCCAAAUAUAAAAAUUUAGAAGGUAACCUAACAGAGCUCAAUAUCCAAAAAUUAGUUUCCCUCACAGUAGCAACAGACAAUUAGACAACAUAAAUAAAAUUCAAUGGUAUCUCUGCAUAGAGAGUAUACACAUGUUGCAUUAUAUUUAUUUUAGAAACUAGGGACUUUUGACCUAUUAUAAAUGCAUCUUUUAAAAUCGUUACCAAUAUAAAGCAUAAUAUAUUAUAAAUGUGAACAAAACUUAAAAGUAAAACUCAGUGAAUUAUCAAACCUUUGAGCAACCCAAUAAUUAGGAAAAAGAAAAAAACAAUGUGCAAGAUACACAUAAACACACACGCACCCCACUCUCCAGCCCCAAACUGAAAGACUAAAAAGACUUAGAGAUGCGAUACAAUUUGAAUCAAAAUUUGAACAGGGUGUGUGUGUGUGUGUGUGUGUGUGUGUGUGUGUGUGUGCGCGCGCGCGCGCGCGCGCGCGCGCAGAAGAGCAUAAUUUAACAAUAGGAUUCUAAACUUUCUAAGGAAGCUCAAAGGGCCAAAAACAGCAAGACACUUCUAAAAAAAGAAGAUUACAGAACUUACUUUUCCAGACACCAAGAUUUACUUUAAAGCUAUUUAUAGAAGUAUGACGGUAUAAUACUGGUGCAAAGAGAAACAAGACCAAUAAAACAAAAUACAGAGAAGAAAACCAACAAAUAGACCACUGCAGAGCAGUGAGGGAAGGACUGCCUUUCCAAUAAACAGUUCUGGGAAAACAGGAUAUCUGUGUGGAAAGAAUAAAAAUGGACACCUACAGUCCUUGGGAGAUCAUAGACCUAAAUGUGAAAAGCAAAGCAAUAAAGCUUCUCAAAGAAUAUGUCUUGGAAACAGGAUUAAGAUGGCGGAAUAGAAGGACUGGAGCUCAACUUCUCUCCUAAAAGCAACAAAAUUCACAACUAAAGACUGAGCAAUCUCCACCCAAAUGGACCGGAAACCCAUAACCUACUCCAGAAGAAAAAGACGAGGCCACAUCAAGAGGUAGGAGGGGUGAUUUCAUGAUAUAAACAACCCCAUACCUCCCGGGUGGGAAGCUCCACAGACUGAAAACUAACUGGCUCACAGAGACUCACCUACAGGAGUGAGAGUUCUGAGCCCCACAUCAAACCCUCACACGCUGGGAUCUGUCACUGGGAGAAAGAGCCCCUGGAGCAUCUGGCAUUGAAGGCCAGCAGGGCUUGUGUGCAGGAACUCCACAAGACUGGGGGAAACAGAGACCCCAUUCUUAAAAGGCGCACACAGACUUUCACGUGCACUGGGUCCCAGGGCAGAGGGAGGUCUCCACAGGAACCUAGGUCAAACCUGACUGCAGUUCUUGGAGGACAUCAUGGGAAAACAGGGGUGAAUGUAGCUCAUUGUGAGAGAAGGACAUUGGGAGCAAAGCUCUCGGGAAUAUUCAGCAUCUGCCUUUCUCUGGAGGGGGCCAUUUUGGGAAAAUCUGGCCCCACCCGUCAGUCAGUGCUGAGAAGCCCCUGGGCAAACAACAAUCCAGGUGGGAUCACAGCCCCGCCCCUCAGUAAACAGGCUACCUAAAGAGCCUCAGGCACACAGCAGCCCCUAAUCCCAUCCAGAGACUAAGCCCCACCCACCAGAGGGAUUAGAAUAGGCUCCACCUACCAGUGGGCAGGCAUCAGCCCCUCCCAUCAGGAAGCCUACAGCAAGCCCCCCACAAGGGGGGCAGACACCAGAAGUAAGAGAGGCUACAGCUCUAUUAUCUAUAAAAAGGUCACCACACCAAAAACCUAUAAAAAUGAAGAGACAGAGAACUAUAACUCAGAUGAGAGAAAAACCCCAGAAAAUCAGCUAAGCAACGAGGACAUUCUCAGCCUCCAGGAAGAAGACUUUAGACUGUCAAUGCUGAAGAAGAAUAUGUCUUAUACUAUCUGUAGUCAAGUGCCACGUUUUUAAAAAUACCUAAAAUCUCAGGGAUCCAUGCUGGGUCCUCCUGCACAUGACUGGUUCGCAGCUUAAGAGGCCCGACUUGCCGCGUUGGGUUCAGUCACACCAGAACUAUCAGCAAGAUGAGUCCUCUACUCACGCACCUGCAUUCCGUGUUACGUCGCAUUACCAUAAAGGUUUCUGAACUCUUACUCUCAAUUUCUAUACUUAUCUCAUCAGGGACCAGUAAAAAACAGCUUAGAAAUAGUACAGGUCCUUGGACCACAGUUUGGUCAGCAUAGUAGUCAACAGUUCUUAAGACUGUUGAAGGUAAUAUAAGAAAAUAUCUUUAUGACCUCAGGUAGAAUGUUUUCUUAAAAUGAAUUCCAAAGGCACUAAUCAUAAGGGGAAAUACUGGGUAAGUUUUAGUACAUUAAAAUCAGGAACUGCUAAUUAAAAGAUACCAUGAAG